CUCCAGGUGAAACACCCACUUUUCCCCAAUCCAAUAAUAUCAUCGUUCCCCAAUCUCACCCCUCCCUCUCGCUGCCGCUCACACACAACACAGAGACCUAAACCUAAUGCCCCCGCGCCGCCACCCACGACCUUCGUGCCACCGGCCAAGCCCUCACGCUGGUCCCCUCAUGCCGAUGCAUCUCAAACCCUAGGCGUUCCUUCCCUCAGCCCGCAUCAGCAGCAGCGCCGUCCGUGAUAGAGGAGCAUCGUCCGCCCACCACCCGCCGUUGAGGAGCAGCUGCGCCGUCUUGCUGAGGAGCCGCCCGCCGUUCUUCUUCCUCCACCGGCGACACGUGUACCUCCAGAUCUCAACAGGCAAGCUGCAAAUCUUCCCAAUCUGCCUACCUGCUCUCUCAUCUCCAUUAUUGGCAACGAGGUCAAAUUAGGGUUCUGAAAUUAGAUAAUACAUGAGAUUAAUCAAAGGGGAAAAGGAACAUUUGACCACCAGCUAGCAUAAGGAUUUCAUUUUCAGUGGUUUGAGGUAAGAUCCGCUCUUCCCUACCAUGGAUUUUGAUGGAUAGCAGGUUCUAUUUGAAAGGAGAAGAGAGAUAGUGCAGGGAAGAAGAAGUCGCUCAGUUUACUAGCCAGUAUUGACAUUGAUAGUAUGACCUUCCCAGGUUUAAGGGGCAUGGCAUGUUGGCACCAUUCACAGCUGGAUGGCAGAGCAAUGGUGUGCAUCCGUUGGUUAUUUAGAGAUCUGAGGGUUCUUAUGUUUAUGACAUCAAUGGGAACAAGUAUCCAGAUUCUCUAGCAGGACUGUGGUGUACAACUUUAGUUAUGUAAAGUACAAUCUUUGGAGUGUGAUUUUUGCGAUUAUGUACCACAGAAUUGUUCAUUCUUUGGGAUAAUACCCUGCAUCACCAUUUUGUUUUUGCAUUUAAAAGUGAUGUAUAAAGUCUAAUUUGUAUCCUUUGAAGUGCAUCUCUUGUUGACAAUUGAUUUGUAACCCCAAAUAUGAAACAUGACUCUCUUAAUUGCUGGAAAUAUUGGUCAUAUCUAUUUCAAGAAAGGUUGUGCACCCAACAUUUAUAGCUCCCAUUCCGUGCAAUCAGCCCAAUAUGCUUCAUGUUCCUUUACAGAAAUUAACAUUUGGUCUAUAGCGUUAAAGGGCCGAACUGAACCCAUAUGCUUCUACCUGUUAUUACAUCAUUUCUAUAUGCUUCUUCCUGUUAUUACAGCAGAUUUUAGAUAUGACAAUGUCAGAGACCACAAAUAAAGAGAUAAUCUUGAAAUCUUAGCUUCACAUUGGAUGUUUGGAACAUCAAUUCAGUACCCUUAGUACUAAACAGAAACCAUAUUCUCAAUAAACUGAUAUUUAUUGUUGAACGUGCCUUUUGCUUUUGAAACGAUAAUUAUUACUUAGCAUGUGAUGUUGCCUAGUAAUAAACUGAACCGUAUUUUAGUGUUUCCAUUUUCCUCAAUUACCAAGUUUAGCAUCUACCUUUUUAUCUAAUACACUCCAUUAUACUCAAAUAUGGUCUUUACAACCCACAUAUGUUGCAUUUUUUCUGCUAACAGGAGAGUACCAAAUUUGUGAAGACUUUCAUUUCUUACAUUCGUUACUUUUAGCCGCUGAACAAACCAAGGUAAAGAACGACAAACACGGAAAAGGCUAGCUGUUGGCUGUGGGUGCUGAGCUGACGGACAGUGUGGAAGAAGGUGUGAUCUUCGCAGUGGCCCAUGAAGUACUUUUUUCUUUACAUGUUGAUCACUACUGCACUGUUCAAGUUCUUAAUCAAGUGACUGAUCGACUGUGAUUGUGGUUCACAACCAAGGGAAUGCUAACCGUGGUGGUGAUUGAAGAGCCCUUAAUCAAUUCGGCCCUGUAGAUUGGAGCACCAACAUGGGAUAUUGCACCAUCUAGCUCCAUCUAUCUGAUUCAUCUUAUUUUCUUGGUCUAUCAACUAGAGGAAUCUACAGAUUCUUGAAUACGUUCCUGACCUUGUGCAAUCGAUAGUUGGUCUGAUCUCAUCCUCCGACGACCAAGAGUUCUGAGACGAAUGUGUGGUGCUCCUCGCGAAACAUAGUACGGCUUCAGCAUCAUAGGAUGUGCAAUAAUAAGAGCAAAAUUUAUCAUCCACUUCACAGAGAAAAUUCAGUAUCAAAUGUACUUAAACACACUCUGUUCACAGUUAGACCUGUUUGUCAAUGUAUUUUGUUGCUUUUUAUUUACCCCCUUGUUGUACUCUUUUCUCAUCACUGUAUUUCUCCAUCAGCCAUCCCUUCUCUUCCCUUGUGCUUCCCUCUUUUUUCUGGUCUUCUUCAAAUCUCUAAAGUUACAGUAAGAACCUUAUUACUGAUGCCUUAGAACAAAUCUGAUUUAUUAAGAAUGGGCGCAUAAUUUUUAUAGUAAACCAUGUGAUAUGGUAGGAGCUAGCGUGGCUUUGGUUUAUUUUCUGAUAAGGAUAUCUUAUGUAACCAAACUGUUUGCAAUAUCUUCUAUUUUUUAGAUAUUGUUUUAGAUCUUUGGGAUCAUUGGCAACUAGCAAGUUUGAACAAAUUCUCAUUUCUAUGAUUGCUCAAACAUAGAAGUUCUUUUUUUGCAGGGACAUGACAGAAAGUUGCAAGUCCACAAGUUGAUCUAAGAUGUUCGGUCAUCGCUUUUGUUCAUAACA